rnacentral:rRNA from 1 species
AAUAGAUACCCCGGUAGUCCACGCCGUAAACGAUGAGUGCUAAGUGUUAGAGGGUUUCCGCCCUUUAGUGCUGCAGCUAACGCAUUAAGCACCCCGCCUGGGGAGUACGGUCGCAAGACUGAAACUCAAAGGAAUUGACGGGGGCCCGCACGAGCGGUGGAGCAUGUGGUUUAAUUCGAAGCAACGCGAAGAACCUUACCAGGUCUUGACAUCCUCUGGCAACUCUAGAGAUAGAGCGUUCCCCUUCGGGGGACAGAGUGACAGGUGGUGCAUGGUUGUCGUCAGCUCGUGUCGUGAGAUGUUGGGUUAAGUCCCGCAACGAGCGCAACCCUUGAUCUUAGUUGCCAGCAUUUAGUUGGGCACUCUAAGGUGACUGCCGGUGACAAACCGGAGGAAGGUGGGGAUGACGUCAAAUCAUCAUGCCCCUUAUGACCUGGGCUACACACGUGCUACAAUGGAUGGUACAAAGGGCUGCAAGACCGCGAGGUCAAGCCAAUCCCAUAAAAACCAUUCUCAAUUCGGA